CACGUAGAUGGCUUUGUAAGUCGGAUGUGAAAUCCCUGGGCUCAACCUGGGAACUGCAUUCGAAACUGCAUUGCUCGAAUGUGGAAGAGGGAAGCGGAAUUCCAGGUGUAGCGGUGAAAUGCGUAGAUAUCUGGAGGAACAUCAGUGGCGAAGGCGGCUUCCUGGUCCAACAUUGACAUUCAGGUGCGAAAGCGUGGGGAGCAAACAGGAUUAGAUACCCUGGUAGUCCACGCCGUAAACGAUGUGCGCUGGAUGUUGGGCGACCUAGUCGCUCAGUGUCGCAGCUAACGCGAUAAGCGCACCGCCUGGGGAGUACGGCCGCAAGGUUGAA
rnacentral:rRNA from 1 species